UACAGAGGUGGCAAGCGUUGUUCGGAAUUACUGGGCGUAAAGGGCGCGUAGGCGGCCUUCUAAGUCGGACGUGAAAGCCCCAGGCUUAACCUGGGAACUGCGUCCGAUACUGGGAGGCUUGGAUUCGGGAGAGGGAUGUGGAAUUCCGAGGUGUAGCGGUGAAAUGCGUAGAUAUCUGGAGGAACACCGGUGGCGAAGGCGGCAUCCUGGACCGAGAUCGACGCUGAGGCGCGAAAGCUAGGGGAGCAACGGG
rnacentral:rRNA from 1 species